UGACAAAUGGGAAGGGAGAGUUUGGAGAAGGGAAACACUUAGAAGGCUGGACAUUGGCCCAGGGCUGUGUUCCAUCCUGGCUGCCCUGUGGAAGCCCUGAAGAAAUGGGACGUGGCCCUGUGGAAGCAGGCUGACUUGAAGAGCUGCUGAUGCUGGAGCCCGUCCUAGAGAGUCUGAUUCAAACUGUCUGAGUUAACUACAAUGAACGGCCACAGAUGAGAGCUACCAGACUGGGAGUUAGGGGACAACAAGGGGACAUCGGGCACACUGCUGCUCUAAACAAAAUAGAGGCUCUGCUGGGAAGGAAAAAAGGAAAAUAGGACUUCGGGCACAAACCCUCAACCUAUGGACAUGGUCCCCUUGAUUGUCAGCAUCUGACUCUGACUCUGCACAAGACCUGGGGGAAGCUGCACCAGGAGGGAUGGACAUGCUGCCCAGGAAACACUGGCGAGAGAGGGAGGAGGCUGGCAAAGGGACUGGCACUUGUCUUAAAUGAAGAAUGGCUGUGAAAAGGAGAGGAGCCAGCUUGUCAGAGAGAGCUGCACCUUUUCUUCUCAUCAGGAAUUCCUG
rnacentral:lncRNA from 10 species